rnacentral:lncRNA from 1 species
GUGUGGCAUCUUUCUGAACUCCCCUGACCGUCCGAGCUUCCAUAAUGCCAUCCGGGCUUCCCCAAUCAUGAGCUUUUCCAUUCAUCUACCGGACUGCUCCAAAUGCUCUCUGAACUUCGCUAUCAAUCGAUUUUCUACAAUGAUCGACUAUUCUCCGAAUCUCUUCCAGACUUCUUCCAACCACGAUCGACUCUACUCUGAACUUUCUCCGAACUUCGUCAAUGGCCGAGCUUCCCCAACAGUAGGACUUCUACAGUAACCAGACUCC